rnacentral:rRNA from 1 species
GAUGAACGCUGGCGGCGUGCCUAAUACAUGCAAGUCGAGCGAACAGACGAGGAGCUUGCUCCUCUGACGUUAGCGGCGGACGGGUGAGUAACACGUGGAUAACCUACCUAUAAGACUGGGAUAACUUCGGGAAACCGGAGCUAAUACCGGAUAAUAUAUUGAACCGCAUGGUUCAAUAGUGAAAGACGGGUUUGCUGUCACUUAUAGAUGGAUCCGCGCCGCAUUAGCUAGUUGGUAAGGUAACGGCUUACCAAGGCAACGAUGCGUAGCCGACCUGAGAGGGUGAUCGGCCACACUGGAACUGAGACACGGUCCAGACUCCUACGGGAGGCAGCAGUAGGGAAUCUUCCGCAAAGGGCGAAAGCCUGACGGAGCAACGCCGCGUGAGUGAUGAAGGUCUUCGGAUCGUAAAACUCUGUUAUUAGGGAAGAACAAAUGUGUAAGUAACUAUGCACGUCUUGACGGUACCUAAUCAGAAAGCCACGGCUAACUACGUG